UACGGAGGGUGCGAGCGUUAAUCGGAAUAACUGGGCGUAAAGCGUGCGCAGGCGGUCAUUUAAGUGAGAUGUGAAAUCCCCGGGCUUAACCUGGGAAUAGCAUUUCAGACUGGGAAGCUAGAGUACGUUAGGGGGGGGUAGAAUUCCACGUGUAGCGGUGAAAUGCGUAGAGAUGUGGAGGAAUACCGAAGGCGAAGGCAGUCCCGUGGGCAUGUACUGACGCUCAUGCGCGAAAGCGUGGGGAGCAAACAGG
rnacentral:rRNA from 1 species